GCACAAGCGGUGGAGCAUGUGGUUAAUCGAUGCAACGCGAAGAACCUUACCUGGGCUUGACAUCCCAAGAAUCCCCUGGAAACAGGGGAGUGCCCUUCGGGGAGCUUGGAGACAGGUGCUGCAUGGCUGUCGUCAGCUCGUGUCGUGAGAUGUUGGGUUAAGUCCCGCAACGAGCGCAACCCUUGCCUUUAGUUGCCAUCAUUCAGUUGGGCACUCUAGAGGGACUGCCGGUGUCAAACCGGAGGAAGGUGGGGAUGACGUCAAGUCCUCAUGGCCUUUAUGCCCAGGGCUACACACGUGCUACAAUGGGCGGUACAAAGAGCAGCGAGCUCGCGAGAGUAAGCAAAUCUCAAAAAGCCGUCCUCAGUUCGGAUUGGAGUCUGCAACUCGACUCCAUGAAGUUGGAAUCGCUAGUAAUCGCGGAUCAGCACGCCGCGGUGAAUACGUUCCCGGGCCUU
rnacentral:rRNA from 1 species